rnacentral:rRNA from 1 species
UACAGAGGUCUCAAGCGUUGUUCGGAUUCAUUGGGCGUAAAGGGUGCGUAGGUGGCGCUGUAAGUCGGGUGUGAAAUUUCGGAGCUUAACUCCGAAACUGCAUUCGAUACUGCGGUGCUUGAGGACUGGAGAGGAGACUGGAAUUCAUGGUGUAGCGGUGGAAUGCGCAGAUAGUCAGGAGGAACACCGGUGGCGAAGGCGGGUCUCUGGGCAGUAACUGACGCUGAGGAGCGAAAGCGUGGGGAGCGAACAGG